rnacentral:rRNA from 1 species
ACUCAAAGGAAUUGACGGGGACCCGCACAAGCAGUGGAGUAUGUGGUUUAAUUCGAAGCAACGCGAAGAACCUUACCAGGGCUUGACAUCUAUAGAAUCCCUCUGAGAGGAGGGAGUGCCUUCGGGAGCUAUAAGACAGGUGGUGCAUGGUUGUCGUCAGCUCGUGUCGUGAGAUGUUGGGUUAAGUCCCGCAACGAGCGCAACCCCUAUUGUUAGUUGCCAUCAUUGAGUUGGGCACUCUAACGAGACUGCCGUUGACAAAACGGAGGAAGGUGGGGACGACGUCAAAUCAUCAUGCCCCUUAUGUCCUGGGCUACACACGUACUACAAUGGCCGUCACAACGGGAAGCGAAGCUGUGAAGUGGAGCAAAUCCCCAAAGCCGGCCCCAGUUCGGAUUGCAGGCUGCAACUCGCCUGUAUGAAGUAGGAAUUGCUAGUAAUCGCGGAUCAUCAUGUCGCGGUGAAUACGUUCCCGGGUCUUGUACACACCGCCCGU